rnacentral:pre_miRNA from 1 species
AUUGGGAAGAGGAAGAAAAAGAGCAUCUAAGAGCAUUAGGCAUGGGAACAUGGAGGAAAGCCUCAACCAUUAUUUCCCUUUAAAAUUAGGGGGUCACAAUAUGUUCCUGUGUUUUCCCAAUGCCUCACAUGCCUAUUGUUCUCAGGUGUUCCUUCCUCUUCCUUUUGGCU